UACCCGCAGCACAAGUGGUGGCCAUUAUUAUUGGGCCUAAAGCGUCCGUAGCUGGCUUGUUAGAUGCCUGGGUAAAUCGAUGCGCUCAACGUAUCGAAUUCCGGGUAGACCGGCAAGCUCGAGACCGGGAGAGGUGUAGGCUACUCGAGGGGUAGGGGUAAAAUCCUGUAAUCCUUCGGGGAGGACCAGUGGCGAAGGCGCUACACUAGAACGGCUCUGACAGUGAGGGACGAAGCCCUGGGGCGCAAACCGG
rnacentral:rRNA from 1 species